AAACUCAAAGAAACAAACCAAAUUUGAAAGGAGCAGAAUCCGCAGAGCUGAUCGACAUAGAGACAGAGGUGGAAGUCCAACAAUUCAGAAAUUGGUGAAGGAAAUUUGAUUUUGGCAGGACAAAGAGGCGGGAGACAAAUAAUGGAGCAAGGGUUUAUCAUUCUUCAUCUUUCAUGCCAUCUUUAUCUACCAGCUACGCCACAAAUUUGUUGUGUUUUCAUCUUCUAUGAUCAGAGUUCAUUAGAAACAUUUUGGACACUUGUUUAAUCGAGAUUGUUUACUUAUGGAUAAGACUUGGAUGCAUCGAUCAAGAUUAAGUGAUGCAUACCAGAAAGGAGUUGACAUGUUUCUUGAUUUUGCGUUUACUAGUGCAAGUUAUGAGGAUAACAUCAUAUGUCCAUGCAUCAAGUGUGGAUUUACCAUUUCUGUCGCUCGGUCAGUUGCAUAUGAUCAUUUAGUAUGUGAUGGAUUCAUAAAGGGUUACACUAAAUGGGUUUUACAUGGUGAAGCAUCAGCUGUUGCUACAACGGGUCUUGAUAUGCACAUGUAGAGUGGGCCACAAUUAAAUAUUGAUACAAAUGGAUUAGCACACGAGGCAUUUGGAAUCUCAAAUGAUGAUGACAGGGUCGAUGGAAAUAACCUUGAAGAUCUGGAACCAAAUCCACAAGCAGAGAAGUUCUACAAGUAGAUACAUGAUGGACAAAAGGAGCUUUAUCCACAAUGUAGAAAUUUUACGAAGCUCUCAUUCAUCCUUCAGUUAUUUCAUAUAAAGAAUUUAUGUGGAUGCAGUAAUGAUUUGUUCACUAUGUUAUUAGAGUUAUUGAAAGAGGCAUUCCUAGGGUGUAACACUGCCUAAUACUGUUUAUAACGUUGAGCAGAUAGUUAUGGAGUUAGGACUUGGUUGUGAGAAGACUCAUGCAUGUCCCAAUGAUUUCGUGUUGUAUAGGAAUGAGCACAAAACCGAUUCUGAAUGUUAUGUUUGCCAUACAUCUAGGUAUGUAACAGACCGAAAUGAUUCAGACAGUGGGGCAUCCUCUAAAAAAGGGAGCUAUAAAACAAUUUCUAAGGUUCUACAUUACUUUCCUUUGAUACCAAGGCUGCAAAGGUUAUUCAUGUCAUCCAAAGCAGCAUUAUCUAUGAAGUAGCAUAAAGAAGGUCGCACUAAUGAUGGUUGUUUGACACAUCCUGCCAAUUCUCUAGCUUGGAUGACUUUUGACCAUUUACACCCUGAUUUCGCAGCAGAUUGUAGAAAUGUCAGACUCAGUUUGGCGUGUGAUGGUGUGAACCCUUUCAGAACAUUGAGCAGCACGUAUAGCACCUGGUCUGUAAUUCUUAUACCAUAUAAUUUGCCUCCAUGGAUGUGUAUGAAGUAGACCAAUUUCUAUUA